UAUAAACAUAUUUUUUAACCAUAGUUACAUUCGUUGAGAUCCUGAGUUGCAUUGGUGCUAAUAAAAUUUUGGUUUGCAGCAUAGCUUGUUUCUUCUUCGUUCUCAGGUGUUCGGCCCUCAGCUUUAAAUCCUAACUCAUCUGAGUGAAGUUUUGUGCGAUUUGAGCAGUUUGUGCAAUUGUAUAUUUGUUGGAGGAACCAGGGUUGGUAUUUGAUGAAUGGUGCUUCUGCAUCUAGUAGCUUAAGGGCAGCUUUCUCAUACUGUGUGCAGCAAGUCCGUAGUUAUGAUUACCAUAACUACCUUUGCCUCCUUGAACUCCCCCCUAACAUGCGAAAGGUUGCAUUUGCAGUCCGUGCCUUAAAUGUUGAAACAGCUCGUGCUAUGGAUGUUGCUUCUGAUCCGAGGAUUGGUCUUAUGCGCCUCGUCUGGUGGCAAGAAGCCAUAGACAAAAUCUAUGCCAACAAGUUAAUUGAGCACCCAACAGCACAAGCCCUGUUGUCAGUGGUACAUGAGAACAAAAUUAGCAAGGUAUGGCUGAAACGGUCCGUAGAAGCUCGGAUCAGUGAUGCAAGAAAGGAGGUUGGUGACACCCCAGAAAAAAUUGAAGAAUUGGAGAGAUAUGCAGAAGAUACUGUAUCAACUCUUCUUUACAUGACACUUCAAGCUGGUGGUAUCAGGUCCACUGCAGCCGAUCAUGCAGCAUCACAUAUUGGUAAAGCAAGUGGUCUUCUUUUGCUGAUUAAGUCAUUGCCAUAUCAUGGUAGUCGAAACCGCCAUUUUUCUUAUAUACCAACCGAAGUGGCAGCCAAGCAUGGAUUGCUGGUUAAGCAUGGAGGUCAAUCAGAGAUUCAUUUGGAUUCUCGUGAGGGCUUAUGUGAAGCGGUUUUUGAGAUGGCAUCAGUUGCUAAUGUCCAUUUGCAGAAGGCUCGUGAUUUAGCUGGUACAGUACCUGUAGAGGCUCUCCCAGUGCUGCUGCCAGCAGUGCCUGCCCAGGUUCUACUGGACUCUUUGAGCCGAGUGAAUUUUGAUGUGUUUGAUCCAAGGUUAGCGCGAGGGAUUCUUGGUAUUCCUCCUUUGUGGUAUCAGUUGAAAUUGAAGUGGCAUUCAUGGAGGGAAAAAUACUAAAAGAAAUUUCCGUUUAUCGGUUGGAUACGAAAGAAAUUGCAUUUUGCAUACAAGAGUUACACCACGGAUAUGUUCCUUUGCAGGAAGAAAAUAUCAUGCUCAUGAAUCCUUGUUAACCAACCUUUCAAGAAGAAAUUCACAUACGGAUGAAGAGAGGUUGUCUUUGGUUUCAACCUAACCAAUUCUUUGAGGAUUCUCCAAAGGUAUGAAAACAUCUUUUUCACAAACGUAAAGAUGCACAUUAUAUUUCAGCUCAGACUUUAGUUCCUGCAACUCGGGAAGUCAUCACUAAUCGGUUAUCUUAUCUGUGCAAAUUUUGAGCUCCCACAAGUAUUAUAGACUGAUUAUUUACUUGAUGUUGGUCUACUAAGUUAUAAUAGCCAUUCCUAUUUCCUACAAUUGCCAACUCAAAAGAGGUAUGUAAUCUAAGAAAUCCAAAACCAGCUUCCUUAGGACCAAAAGCA